rnacentral:rRNA from 1 species
UCGAGCGGUAGCACAGAGAGCUUGCUCUCGGGUGACGAGCGGCGGACGGGUGAGUAAUGUCUGGGAAACUGCCUGAUGGAGGGGGAUAACUACUGGAAACGGUAGCUAAUACCGCAUAACGUCGCAAGACCAAAGAGGGGGACCUUCGGGCCUCUUGCCAUCAGAUGUGCCCAGAUGGGAUUAGCUAGUAGGUGGGGUAACGGCUCACCUAGGCGACGAUCCCUAGCUGGUCUGAGAGGAUGACCAGCCACACUGGAACUGAGACACGGUCCAGACUCCUACGGGAGGCAGCAGUGGGGAAUAUUGCACAAUGGGCGCAAGCCUGAUGCAGCCAUGCCGCGUGUAUGAAGAAGGCCUUCGGGUUGUAAAGUACUUUCAGCGAGGAGGAAGGCAUUGUGGUUAAUAACCGCAGUGAUUGACGUUACUCGCAGAAGAAGCACCGGCUAACUCCGUGCCAGCAGCCGCGGUAAUACGGAGGGUGCAAGCGUUAAUCGGAAUUACUGGGCGUAAAGCGCACGCAGGCGGUCUGUCAAGUCGGAUGUGAAAUCCCCGGGCUCAACCUGGGAACUGCAUUCGAAACUGGCAGGCUAGAGUCUUGUAGA